rnacentral:lncRNA from 1 species
AUAUAAAAACAAUAUAUUUUUGGCUUUCCUAUAUUAUUCUCAUUUUACCAUAUUCAUAAAAUUUAGAAAUUAGUUGUAAGAAUAAAUAAUACAAUUAUUGAAACGGUUAAUCAUUUGGUUUUAUCAGUUUACCUUUACAUAGUAUUCACUCGUUUACAGUAUUUAUAGUUAGAUUUACGUUUACUGUUUAUUCUUUAUCUAUAUAUUUCCCUUGAAAGUUUCUUUUUAUUCAUCAUCAUCCCUACCCUACACUAUCCACCAUAGUUUCUACUCCUAGGCGCU